rnacentral:lncRNA from 12 species
UGAAACGAUUCCAUCGCAAGCACUUACGAGAGCAUCGUGUGUUCAAGUGGCUGGCAGGGGUUAUCUCGAGGAGCGGGGAGCUGUGUCAAAACACGGUUUUAGGGGAUCCCUGGAUGGCUCAGCAGUUUAGCACCGUGAUCCUGGAGUCCUGGGACCGAGUCCCACAUCAGGCUCCCUGCAUGGAGCCUGCUUCUGCCUCUGCCUGUGUCUCUGCCUCUCUCUCUCUCUCUCUCUCUCAUGAAUAAAUAAAUAAAAAUCUUUAAAAAAACCACACACACACAGUUUUGCUCACGCUCAAUGGUUCUGGUGGAGCCUGGGAUAGGGGAAGAGCCACAGCAUGCAUGAAGCUUCUGCUACACUGAGGGUCUCAAUGAGAGGCUGCGGAAGAGGCGUGAAUGUUCAGAGAACUGGGUUUAAUAUCCCUGGUGCAAGCUCGUCGACCAGGUCUUUCCCAACAAGAAGAUGGAAAAAUUAGAUGCAUUUAGCAAGAGCUUCCCCAGUUAGGUACAAUUAUGACAGCAGAAACAGCAGAGAGCAGGUAAAUUUGUCUCUCUGAGCCUCAGUUUCUCCAUUUGCAAAAUGAAGAUAAAGCUAGAAUGUGAGGUGUUGGAGGAAGCAGGAUGUGUGGGCUGGGGUUAUCCCUGGGGCUGGCACAAAGAAAGACACAGUUACUGUCCCACCCUCCCCUGAGGGCCCAAGAGGGUGUUCCGGGGUGGGAGGGGGGGAGCCCCAAGUGUGGAGCCUAGUGAGGGGCCUUUAGGGAACCACAGCUUAGCAAGAAACUGUCCAGAGCUUGAGGCCACCAAGGCCAACUCCUGAUUACUCUGUGGCCCUCUGCCAAAGGGAGUGGGAAGGAGAGGGAGAGUCUGAAGUUCAGAGGGGCAGAAAGAGGAAGGGGGGGUGAGGAGAAGGCAGAACAGAGAGGAGGCAACUCGCCAAGCUGGGGAGAGGAAGAGGUGGGCAGUGGCCAGGCCUGCAGGAGGGCCCACUGGGCCGCUGCCUCAGCAGCAGAAGGCACCGGGGCCCUUGGGUCCAGCCCAGGCCCUAAGGGAGGGGACGGGGCACUGUUGGUUCUCCCAAGAGCCUGAGCCUGAAGAACCCAGAGGCAGUCCUUAAAGUAUCUGUCCUUGAAUAUUUAUGCAGCUCUGACCGUGGACCAAGCAUGAUAUAUGGAGGAGAGGGGUGAACAAGGUAAGCUCCCUUCUUAAGUAUAGUUUAGUAAGGCAGGAAGACAAUGACACAAAAAAUUGCGGUUCAGUGAAGGAAGAACUAUAAAAGUGCAUAGAAUGUGCGGCUGAGGGAGUGCAGAGGAGGGCACCUCUCCUUGACUAUUGGAGAGGAACUUUUGAAAUGAGUCUUGAUGGUUGAGUAGAAAUUCUUCACAAAGAGGGUAAAAGAUACCUCUGGGUGGAUCGUCCAGCCAGAAGCAGCAUGUAAUAUAAAAAGAUACGGGGAGAAAAAGAACUGAAAGCAGGGAUUUGAACAGAUACUUGCACACCAAUGUUCACAGAAGUGUUACUCACAGCAGCCAGAAGAUGGAAACUACUCAAAUGUCCAUUGGCAGGUGAAGGGAUAAACAAAAUGUGCAAUGCACAUACAAUGGAAUAUUAAUUAGUCUUAAAAAGGAAGGACAUUUUUUUAAUUUUAUUUGAAUUCAAUUAGCCAACAUAGAGUACAUACUUAGUUUUGGGUGUAGUGUUCAAUAACUCGUCAGUUGUGUAUAACACCCAGCGCUCAUCACGUGCCCUCCUUAAUGUCCGUCGCCCAGUUACUCCAACCCCCAUCCCAACUCCCCUCCAGCAACCCUCAGUUUGUUUUCUAUAUUUAAGAGUCUCUCACAGUUUUUCUCCCUCUCUGAUGACUUCCCAUUCAGUUUUUCCUCCCUUCCCCUACGACCCUCUGCACUGUUUCUUAUAUUCCAUCAUAUGAGUGAAACCAUAUGAUAAGUGUCUUUCUCUGAUUGACUUAUUAUUUUGCACAACAUGACCCUCCAGUUCCAUCCACAUUGAUGUAAAUGGUAAGUAUUCAUCCUUUCUGAUGCCUGAGUGAUAUUCCAUUGUAUAUAUAGACCCCAACUUUAUCCAUCCAUCUGUCCAAGGACAUCUCGGCUCCUUCCGCAGUUCGGCUAUUGUGGACAUUCCUGCUAUGAGUGUUGGGGUGCAGGUGCCCUUUCGGAUCACUACAAUUGUAUCUCUGGAGUAAAAAUACCUGGUAGUGUAUUGCUGGGUUGUAGGGCAGCUCUAUUUUUAACGUAUUGAGGAACCUCCACACUGUUUUCCAGAGUGGCCGCACCAGCUUGCAUUCCCACCAACAGUGCAAGAGGGCUCCCCUUUCUCUGUAUCCUCACCAACAUCUGUUGUUUCCUGUCUUGUUAAUUUUAGCCAUUCUCACGGGUGUCAGGUGGUAUCUCAUGGAGAAUUUGAAUUGUAUUUCCCUGAUGCCGGUGUGGAGCCUGCUUAAGAAUCUCUGUCUCCCUCUUCCUCUAUUGCCCCUAAAAAUAAAGGGCUAAAAUGGUAACUUUUAUGUUAUCUA